rnacentral:ncRNA from 1 species
UAUCUGGUUGAUCCUGCCAGUAGUCAUAUGCUUGUCUCAAAGAUUAAGCCAUGCAUGUCUAAGUACAAACCUUAAUACGGUGAAACCGCGAAUGGCUCAUUAAAUCAGCUAUGGUUCCUUAGAUCGUCUCAUCCUACUCGGAUAACUGUGGAAAAUCUAGAGCUAAUACGUGCUUACAAGCCCUGACCUCACGGGAGGGCGCAUUUAUUAGAUCAAAACCAAUCGGGGCUUGCCCCGUCUGCUUGGUGACUCUGGAUAACUUUUGUGCUGAUCGCAUGGCCUCUGCGCUGGCGACGUAUCUUUCAAGUGUCUGCCCUAUCAACUUACGAUGGUAGGUGAUAUGCCUACCAUGGUUAUAACGGGUAACGGGGAAUCAGGGUUCGAUUCCGGAGAGGGAGCCUGAGAAACGGCUACCACAUCUAAGGAAGGCAGCAGGCGCGCAAAUUACCCACUCCCGGCACGGGGAGGUAGUGACGAAAAAUAACGAUACGGGACUCUUUUGAGGCCCCGUAAUUGGAAUGAGUACACUUUAAAUCCGUUAACAAGUAUCUAUUGGAGGGCAAGUCUGGUGCCAGCAGCCGCGGUAAUUCCAGCUCCAAUAGCGUAUAUUAAUGUUGCUGCAGUUAAAAAGCUCGUAGUUGGAUCUGAGGACUCGAAUUGGUGGUGCACCAUACGGUGUUACUGCCGAUU